GAAGGAUCAUGUCACCUUGCCUCAACCUCCUACUUCCUAUUAGAUCCUAUAUUAAAGUACAUAUAUGAGCACUAGAACCAAAGUCCAAUACCCAACUAGAAGCAGAAGAAAUCAUUAGGUUAGAUUUUAUUAUGAGCAUACCUUCAGAAGGUUGAUCCCUCUUUUUCAUCUUCAGGCUCUCCAGGUAAGUGGGAUAGUUUCUCCUCCAGUGGCCAUCGG
rnacentral:lncRNA from 1 species